AUUGAACGCUGGCGGCAGGCCUAACACAUGCAAGUCGAACGAGUGGCGGACGUAUUAGUAAGGUCUGGGAAACGGCCUGAUGGAUGGGGUUCAGUAACGGAAACGGUAGCUAAUAACGCCUACCAUCAGCUGUGCCCAGAUGGGAUUAGCUUGUUGGUGGGGUAAGGGCUCACUAAGGCGACGAUCCCUAGCUGGUCUGAGAGGAUGACCAGCCACACUGGAACUGAGACACGGUCCAGACUCCUACGGGAGGCAGCAGUGGGGAAUAUUGCACAAUGGGCGAAAGCCUGAUGCAGCCAUGCCGCGUGUAUGAAGAAGGCCUUCGGGUUGUAAAGUACUUUCAGCUGGGAGGCGUUACCCACAGAAGAAGCACCGGCUAACUCCGUGCCAGCAGCCGCGGUAAUUC
rnacentral:rRNA from 1 species